CGAGUGGCGGACGGGUGAGUAAUACGUAGGAAUUUACCUAAUGGAGUGGGAUAACCUAGGGAAACUUAGGGUAAUACCGCAUAAGCUCUACGGAGUAAAGCAGGGGACUUUCGGGCCUUGCGCUAUUAGAUGAGCCUACGUCGGAUUAGCUAGUUGGUGGGGUAAAGGCCUACCAAGGCGACGAUCCGUAGCUGGUUUG
rnacentral:rRNA from 1 species